GGGCUCGAGUCAGCUGACGCGGGAGGGUUUGAAGCUACACCGCGAGGGAGCGAGGCCGCAGUGACAGCAGCGGGUGUUUAGACGCCGGUUGCACCGCCGCGCCCGCCGGCGUUCGGCGCUCCCCUCCCCGGCAUGGCGGUGCCCGUAGGCCCGCGCGGCUCAGAGACUGAGCGCCUCCUGACACCCAAACCUGGGUAUGGGACCCAGGUGGGGCCUUCCCCAGCCCCUUCCACCCCUCCAGAAGAGGAGGAUCUCCGCCGUCGUCUCAAGUACUUCUUCAUGAGCCCCUGUGAUAAAUUUCGGGCCAAGGGCCGCAAGCCCUUUAAGCUCAUGCUGCAGGUGGUGAAGAUCCUGGUGGUCACAGUGCAGCUCAUCCUGUUUGGGCUCAGCAACCAGCUGGUGGUGACAUUCCGGGAGGAGAACACCAUCGCCUUCCGGCACCUCUUCCUGCUGGGCUACUCGGACGGGGCGGAUGACACGUUUGCGGCCUACACCCGGGAGCAGCUGUACCAGGCCAUCUUCCACGCCGUGGACCAGUACCUGAUGCUCCCCGAUGUGUCCCUGGGUCGGUAUGCUUACGUGCGGGGCGGGGGCGGGCCCUGGGCCAAUGGCUCGGCCCUGGCCCUCUGCCAGUGCUACUACCACCGGGGCCACGUGGACCCAGCCAAUGACACCUUUGACAUCGACCCCAUGGUCAUCACUGACUGUAUCCGGGUGGACCCUCCCGAGAGACCCCCCGUGCCCCCCAGUGAUGAGCUCUUCCUCUUGGAUGGCAGCACCAGUUACAAGAACCUCACGCUCAAAUUCCACAAGCUGAUCAACGUCACCAUCCACUUCCAGCUGAAGACCAUCAACCUCCAGAGCCUGAUCAACAAUGAAAUCCCAGACUGCUACACCUUCAGCAUCCUGAUCACAUUUGACAAUAAGGCACACAGUGGGCGUAUCCCCAUCAGCCUGGAGACCCAGGCCCACAUCCAGGAGUGUAAGCACCCCAGCGUCUUUGGCCACGGAGACAACAGCUUCCGGCUCCUCUUUGACGUGGUCGUGAUCCUGACUUGUGCCUUCUCCUUCCUGCUGUGCGCCCGCUCGCUGCUGCGAGGCUUCCUGCUGCAGAGCGAGUUUGUCAGGUUCAUGUGGCGGCAGCGGGGACAGGUCAUCAGCCUGUGGGAGCGGCUGGAAUUUGUCAACGGCUGGUACAUCCUGCUGGUCACCAGCGACGUGCUCACCAUCUCAGGCACCAUCAUGAAGAUUGGCAUCGAAGCCAAGAACCUGGCAAGCUAUGACGUCUGCAGCAUCCUUCUGGGCACCUCGACGCUGCUCGUCUGGGUCGGUGUCAUCCGCUACCUGACCUUCUUCCACAAGUACAACAUCCUUAUUGCCACGCUGCGGGUGGCCCUGCCCAGCGUCAUGCGCUUCUGCUGCUGUGUGGCCGUCAUCUACCUGGGCUAUUGCUUCUGCGGCUGGAUUGUGUUGGGACCCUACCAUGUGAAGUUCCGCUCGCUGUCCAUGGUGUCCGAGUGCCUUUUCUCGCUCAUCAACGGGGAUGACAUGUUCGUGACGUUCGCGGCGAUGCAGGCGCAGCAGGGCCGCAGCAGCCUGGUCUGGCUGUUCUCCCAGCUCUACCUGUACUCCUUCAUCAGCCUGUUCAUCUACAUGGUGCUCAGCCUCUUCAUCGCGCUCAUCACCGGCGCCUACGACACCAUCAAGAGCAAGCGCCCAAAAGCCAAUGUGACUAGUAGCUACCAGAUUUGGACAGCAUAGAUAUCACACCUUUCCAUCAUCUCAGGAAGUUCUGGAUCGAUGAGACAGGAGCCCAAGAGAGAGCACCAGGGAGAAGGAACAGCCAAAGCAAAGACCUAGAGCCAGAAAGGACUUGGAGAGGAGAUAUUGGCCCUGUGAGGUUGGGAGAGAUGAAGACAAGGCUAAAAGCCAGAACAUUCACUGCUGCUGGGAAUGCAGAUGUUUGCACCCCGCCCGCUCGCCGCCCCCACAAGUGGGUGGUUGUCAAGCACCCAGACUGGGUCAGGCACGGCUCGAGGCGCUGAAGCCACAGCGGAGGGCACCAACUGACCAAGAUUCAGGGUGUGCACACAUUCAGUGGUCAGGGAAUGUCUCCGGGUGAAGCAAACCACGAGGAACAGCAGGUGGAGGGCACAGCACGGUGCAGAGGCCCAGAGGUGGGAGCCUGGUUGGUCCACAAGGACCGCAUCCGGGCGGGGCGGGCGGAGAGGAGAGCGAGCUCCAGGCCUACAUCGCGCAGUGCCAAGACAGCCCCACCUCCGGCAAAUUCCGCCGUGGGAGCGGCUCCGCCUGCAGCCUCCUCUGCUGCUGCGGC